GGUUAAGCGACUAAGCGUACACGGUGGAUGCCCUGGCAGUCAGAGGCGAUGAAGGACGUGCUAAUCUGCGAUAAGCGUCGGUAAGGUGAUAUGAACCGUUAUAACCGGCGAUUUCCGAAUGGGGAAACCCAGUGUGAUUCGUCACACUAUCAUUAACUGAAUCCAUAGGUUAAUGAGGCGAACCGGGGAACUGAAACAUCUAAGUACCCCGAGGAAAAGAAAUCAACCGAGAUUCCCCCAGUAGCGGCGAGCGAACGGGGAAGAGCCCAGAGCCUGAAUCAGUGUGUGUGUUAGUGGAAGCGUCUGGAAAGGCGCGCGAUACAGGGUGACAGCCCCGUACACAAAAAUGCACAUGUUGUGAGCUCGAUGAGUAGGGCGGGACACGUGGUAUCCUGUCUGAAUAUGGGGGACCAUCCUCCAAGGCUAAAUACUCCUGACUGACCGAUAGUGAACCAGUACCGUGAGGGAAAGGCGAAAAGAACCCCGGCGAGGGGAGUGAAAAAGAACCUGAAACCGUGUACGUACAAGCAGUGGGAGCCUCUUUUAUGGGGUGACUGCGUACCUUUUGUAUAAUGGGUCAGCGACUUAUAUUCUGUAGCAAGGUUAACCGAAUAGGGGAGCCGAAGGGAAACCGAGUCUUAACUGGGCGUUAAGUUGCAGGGUAUAGACCCGAAACCCGGUGAUCUAGCCAUGGGCAGGUUGAAGGUUGGGUAACACUAACUGGAGGACCGAACCGACUAAUGUUGAAAAAUUAGCGGAUGACUUGUGGCUGGGGGUGAAAGGCCAAUCAAACCGGGAGAUAGCUGGUUCUCCCCGAAAGCUAUUUAGGUAGCGCCUCGUGAACUCAUCUCCGGGGGUAGAGCACUGUUUCGGCAAGGGGGUCAUCCCGACUUACCAACCCGAUGCAAACUGCGAAUACCGGAGAAUGUUAUCACGGGAGACACACGGCGGGUGCUAACGUCCGUCGUGAAGAGGGAAACAACCCAGACCGCCAGCUAAGGUCCCAAAGUCAUGGUUAAGUGGGAAACGAUGUGGGAAGGCCCAGACAGCCAGGAUGUUGGCUUAGAAGCAGCCAUCAUUUAAAGAAAGCGUAAUAGCUCACUGGUCGAGUCGGCCUGCGCGGAAGAUGUAACGGGGCUAAACCAUGCACCGAAGCUGCGGCAGCGACGCUUAUGCGUUGUUGGGUAGGGGAGCGUUCUGUAAGCCUGCGAAGGUGUACUGUGAGGUAUGCUGGAGGUAUCAGAAGUGCGAAUGCUGACAUAAGUAACGAUAAAGCGGGUGAAAAGCCCGCUCGCCGGAAGACCAAGGGUUCCUGUCCAACGUUAAUCGGGGCAGGGUGAGUCGACCCCUAAGGCGAGGCCGAAAGGCGUAGUCGAUGGGAAACAGGUUAAUAUUCCUGUACUUGGUGUUACUGCGAAGGGGGACGGAGAAGGCUAUGUUGGCCGGGCGACGGUUGUCCCGGUUUAAGCGUGUAGGCUGGUUUUCCAGGCAAAUCCGGAAAAUCAAGGCUGAGGCGUGAUGACGAGGCACUACGGUGCUGAAGCAACAAAUGCCCUGCUUCCAGGAAAAGCCUCUAAGCAUCAGGUAACAUCAAAUCGUACCCCAAACCGACACAGGUGGUCAGGUAGAGAAUACCAAGGCGCUUGAGAGAACUCGGGUGAAGGAACUAGGCAAAAUGGUGCCGUAACUUCGGGAGAAGGCACGCUGAUAUGUAGGUGAAGCGACUUGCUCGUGGAGCUGAAAUCAGUCGAAGAUACCAGCUGGCUGCAACUGUUUAUUAAAAACACAGCACUGUGCAAACACGAAAGUGGACGUAUACGGUGUGACGCCUGCCCGGUGCCGGAAGGUUAAUUGAUGGGGUUAGCGGUAACGCGAAGCUCUUGAUCGAAGCCCCGGUAAACGGCGGCCGUAACUAUAACGGUCCUAAGGUAGCGAAAUUCCUUGUCGGGUAAGUUCCGACCUGCACGAAUGGCGUAAUGAUGGCCAGGCUGUCUCCACCCGAGACUCAGUGAAAUUGAACUCGCUGUGAAGAUGCAGUGUACCCGCGGCAAGACGGAAAGACCCCGUGAACCUUUACUAUAGCUUGACACUGAACAUUGAGCCUUGAUGUGUAGGAUAGGUGGGAGGCUUUGAAGUGUGGACGCCAGUCUGCAUGGAGCCGACCUUGAAAUACCACCCUUUAAUGUUUGAUGUUCUAACGUUGGCCCCUGAUCGGGGUUGCGGACAGUGUCUGGUGGGUAGUUUGACUGGGGCGGUCUCCUCCUAAAGAGUAACGGAGGAGCACGAAGGUUGGCUAAUCCUGGUCGGACAUCAGGAGGUUAGUGCAAUGGCAUAAGCCAGCUUGACUGCGAGCGUGACGGCGCGAGCAGGUGCGAAAGCAGGUCAUAGUGAUCCGGUGGUUCUGAAUGGAAGGGCCAUCGCUCAACGGAUAAAAGGUACUCCGGGGAUAACAGGCUGAUACCGCCCAAGAGUUCAUAUCGACGGCGGUGUUUGGCACCUCGAUGUCGGCUCAUCACAUCCUGGGGCUGAAGUAGGUCCCAAGGGUAUGGCUGUUCGCCAUUUAAAGUGGUACGCGAGCUGGGUUUAGAACGUCGUGAGACAGUUCGGUCCCUAUCUGCCGUGGGCGCUGGAGAACUGAGGGGGCUGCUCCUAGUACGAGAGGACCGGAGUGGACGCAUCACUGGUGUUCGGGUUGUCAUGCCAAUGGCACUGCCCGGUAGCUAAAUGCGGAAGAGAUAAGUGCUGAAAGCAUCUAAGCACGAAACUUGCCCCGAGAUGAGUUCUCCCUGACCCUUUAAGGGUCCUGAAGGAACGUUGAAGACGACGACGUUGAUAGGCCGGGUGUGUAAGCGCAGCGAUGCGUUGAGCUAACCGGUACUAAUGAACCGUGAGGCUUAACCUU
rnacentral:rRNA from 1 species